UCAGUCGACUCCUACGGGGAGGCAGCAGUGGGGAAUAUUGCACAAUGGGGGAAGCCCUGAUGCAGCCAUGCCGCGUGUGUGAAGAAGGCCUUCGGGUUGUAAAGCACUUUCAGUAGGGAGGAAGGUAGUGUAGUUAACACCUGCACUAUUUGACGUUACCUACAGAAGAAGCACCCGGCUAACUCCGUGCCAGCAGCCGCGGUAAUACGGAGGGUGCGAGCGUUAAUCGGAAUUACUGGGCGUAAAGCGCAUGCAGGCGGCCUGUUAAGUCAGAUGUGAAAGCCCGGGGCUUAACCUCGGAAUUGCAUUUGAAACUGGCAGGCUAGAGUCUUGUAGAGGGGGGUAGGAAUUUCAGGUGUAGCGGUGAAAUGCGUAGAGAUCUGAAGGAAUACCAGUGGCGAAGGCGGCCCCCUGGACAAAGACUGACGCUCAGAUGCGAAAGCGUGGGGAGCAAACAGGAUUAGAUACCCUGGUAG
rnacentral:rRNA from 1 species